CUGCUAAAUCUGCUUCUAAUGCUGCUCAAUCUGUUUUAAAUAUCAUUGACAAGGGUUUCACUCGAUUUAAAUAAAACAACUCAUGAUGCACUCUAAAAAAACUCUGGUCAAAGUUUUCUGGUAAGCUUAGAAAUAUUAUUAUAGAAUUACACCAUUCCGGAAAGUACGUCAGUUUGGCUAGAGAGCCUCCUUUUCGUGUGUGACGUACGAGACCUACCAUCUCAAUCAUGAAAACGAGGUUCUAUAGCCAAGGUGACGUGAUUUCCGGAAGCGUGUAUUCCCCUGCACAUACUAGUAUUAGUGAUACACGGAUAAAAUCUAAGGAUCGUCUUUAUACAGCAGUACACCACUGUACUGUUGAUAAUGUAAUACAGUUCAAUGUAUUUGGUAUGUUAUAUGAAGUUAUCUGUUCCACUGACGGAUUUUCAACCAAAGUAAGUUUGUCUGCACUAUCAACUUUGUCUUCAAGGGUGUCCAUAUCUUGUUCAAUGUCAUUUUCCUCUUUCUUGAUUGCCAUAAAACAACCAAAACUAUUGAUAAUAACAACCAUAGCCAAAUAGACAAAUAUUAUGGGGAAAAACAUGAGAUCUUUGUCCCCAACACUGUCU
rnacentral:lncRNA from 1 species